CAUCUUUCUACCUUGUAGUGGAGGGGAAGGCCAUUAAGCAGAGAAGGGAAACAAAAGAGCAAACAAGAGACAUCUGCCUGCUGCUGCUUGUCCCUGUCUCUGGGUGGGUUCAACAUGGGGCUUCUCCACUCCCUCUGUGUGCAGGUUCAAGAAGGGGCUCCUUCUUCCCUGACACUAAUAAGAGGAGAAGGUUCGAGAGAAAAAGCGGAGAAUGUGUGAGCAAUGACUGUUUUCCUCCUGGAAGGAGCUUUGCAUGUCUCUUCAACCUUUCGCAAGUGACAACCAGGACCCCAUAUGACUAAGGAGCUUCAUCAGUGUGUAAUCAAGAUACACAAAAAUAUUAAUGAGGAAGAAGACAUAAGCUGCCUGAGGUUGCAACAGUUAGCUUAUGCCUGGGCCUGUUGGAAAAAUCGUGGUUUAAAGACUAUGGAAGAAUUUAAAGACCAUAGAAAGUGCAGAUUUGCAUUGUUAGGAAUAACGGGCAAAGACCAAAAACUCUGAACAUUUAUUUAUUAUUUACUUUGUUUUGUUGAAGAUUUUCACGGCCGGAAUCACUGGGUUGCUUUGAGUUUUCCGAGCUGCGUGGCCAUGUUCCAGAAGCAUUCUCUCCUGACAUUUCACCCACAUCUAUGUCAAGUAUCCUCAGAGAUUGUGAGGUCUGUUGGAAACUAGGCAGGUGGGGUUUAUAUAUCUGUAGGACGUCCAGAGUGGGAGAAAGAACUCUUGUCUGUUUGAGUAUGCUGUGGUGAUGGAUUUUGAAGAGACACUAAUAGCGAAGGAAAGGAAGAAACGUACCAAGAGGAUGGCGCAUCAAGCAAACUUUUGUCGGGAAUGCCUUCCAUCUGGAAAUCAAUGCCCUCAUUGAGAAAGGCCAUGCUAAUCCAGAAUAGUUUUCUACAGUCACUUAUGAACCCAUCAUCAAGACUCCGCUUUUGAAAGACAAUCAUAAUCCAUGAAGGAUCACCUAUGAUGAAGUUGUGGUGUAUUAUGAUCUCAAAUUGGAUCCAAUUUAAACUAAGCAACCUUUUAAAAAUAUUUCACAAGCUAUAGUUCCAGACCCAUAAUAUUAUUGAUUAUACAGUGAUAAAAUCUGAGCUAUUUUCUCUUAAACAUAAGUGCAGGAUCAAAUAAUGACCCGCAGAGUUACAAUUAAAGUAAUAGUAUAAUGCUGAAUCUCUGUUUUUGCUACAUUGCGCUAAGCAGUACUGUACACUGUCAUAAAACGUUGGCUGAAAUGUAAGAGACUGAAAAAAACAUCCUCUUGUUAUGUAUGUGUAAAGAGCUAAUAACGACUGCCACCAAUUUGUAAAGGACUAAGAACGUCUAAGGUUCUUUCAGGCAAGGGGGGAAUGUUUUUAUCCCACCGCUGCCACUAAUUUGCGAAGAUGCAGCCACCAAAGACUCAGAGGGGAGACCUUUUACUUUUUCUUUCUUUCUUCUUCUUCACUUAAGAGGGUAGCGUAACUUAGUUUAUAAUAUAUGCGAUAGAGUCUUAGAUGUUGGAGGAACAAUAACAAGUUUAUUCAGGCACAGAGCUUAGUGGUUACAAUUCUCACUUAGAGGCACUUUCAUUAACAGUUACAAUAUUAGAAUAAAAGGAGUCAAACUCCCUAAAGUGUCACUUCUUUAACUUAAAGUAGUCAGAACUUCAUCCUCUGCCACUUUUAAACCGUAGUCACCCCUGUGAUAUACGAUCACAGAUUCUCUGUUCCUUACUAGGACACAGACUACAUAAAAUAUGUCACCAAACUUAUUUUAAUCUGACUCAAAAUGAACAAUCGAGUCUCCCUUGAUCCCCUCAACCUAGGAUCAAUCUUCCCUAUGCCUCACCAGAGCACAGACUGAAUUCCUUUUUAAAACUCUGCACUUCUUCAACAAAACGGCAGUUGGCUCCGCCUACUUCUCCAUGGCAACCAGCCUCUGAGUGCAGAGAAGCAAUAACUGUAAUACUUACCCUUUUUAAAACACAAACACACAAUUAAACAUAACAUCUGUAAACCAAAAAUUCAUACUUCAUUACAGUAUGAAAUAUAUUUUAGAAAAAUAGAAUAAUUUAUCAUAGAAAUUGUAUAAUCUACCAGAUCUACAAAACAAUGACUAGUUUGUGAUGCUUUUCUUUCUUUUCCCAGAUACUUUCUUAGGGCAAUACUUGGCAUCCUUAUCAGUGAAUAAACAUCUUCAGAAAUGUGAUUGGUUUUCAAGUAUGCAUGUGUCAGGUUUGACUGAACUGGCUUAGAACCUAAAUAGUACUCUUGUUGGCUCUAGCACUCUCAAGAAGGUUUGAAUAUUUUUUAUUUAUUUAUUUAUUUACUAUAUUUAUACCCCACUCUUCUCAACCCCGAAGGGGACUCAGAGCGGCUUACAGAUUAUGGCAAAAUUCAAUGCCGCAUUAUACAACAAAUAAUAAAUAUAACAUAUCAAAUUAUAAAACAAUUAAAACAUAUACAUGCAAUAAAACAUUAAAACAUAGUUUUAAAGGAGCAGAUGUUCCAUCAGGCAAUGAGACAAAACUGGUGUCGCAGUGCCAGCAUUCACUCGAGAGGGCCCAGGUGAGUCAAGGACCAUGGCCGGAAGAAACAAAUUUUUACUCAGGAAUUAGACAGUUGAACAUGGCCAAGCUCUAAAAGACUGAAAGGGACACUGAGGGGUUGAAGACAAAGAACAGAUGCACUUAUUCACCUUGGCCAAAGUGGAUGUCAGCAGAGUCUGCCUUCCAAAGACUGACAUAAAAGCAAUUGAAAAUUCAGAUUUAUUUAUAGCACUUUGACAGCUAUUCAAAAUAAAAGAUUUCGCUACCCUGCAUGCUGAUUGGUCCAGACUGCGGCAUGCAAGAAUCUUCUUGCUGGUUGGUGGAGACGCACAGUCUGCCAUCGCUGUUGAUUGGCUUGCAGGUUUGGUGGGAAUUUUAAUAAACUCUUGUUGCCUGAUUUUUGUGGCUGUUUAACUUGGUCUGCCCAUAAAGGGGUGUGGGAGGAAAGGAAUGUGGGCAGGGUCAGAGUAAAUAAAGCUGAUAGCUUUGGUCCUGUCCACCUGGAACAAGACAGUGGGUUUGCUGCCAAUACAAUGAGUGCCAGGGGUGUUGGCACAGCCACAACAAAUUUCUUGGGGAUCUGAUCAGUCGAUUGAAAUUGGAAAGUGUUCACCAGGAUAAGCUUGAUAAUAUCUUGCAAUAAACCGUGUGGCUCUCCUUAAACCCAUUGUGGAAUGUGAUGACUCAUGGGCCUUGUAGUCCUGUUCCUAGUACUAUUGUGGCAGACGAAGAGGAAAACAUGGGGUUUUCGCCGGUUCAGCAAGAGCCGGAGUCUCUUCACCUGCAGGAUGUUGAUGUUUGCCCUCAAGAAUUCAGCCAAACAGGCCUUGGGCAGAACUCCCCUCCGUUUCCCAGGAGGGAAAAUUAUUCUAAAGACAGGGGAGUCAGGGAGGCUAAUCGGAGAAGCCUGAGAAUCGCUGCCAAACAAAUGGCUGAUUAGGUCUGCUUCCCUUGGGAAAUUCUAAGGAGUCUGCAUCUGGACAGAGUUGGGUUUCGCUUCUCGUUCUCUAGGGAAAGAGUUCUGUUGGCGGGAAAACGAGACCCAAUAUAGGUGUUUGGCGCGAGGGAUUCUUUGCGGAGUCAAUUGAUCAGCUUGAGGAGAGAGAUCGUGUGUGGACUUUGUAAUCCCAGUUCCUUGCUUCCCGGAUCAAGCUUCAAGCCUCGCCCUGUCUCACGGUUUUACCACGGACUCUGUUCACGCUUCAUGUUCGUCUUGUCUCCAGUCACGGAUCUAGCCAAGAAUCAAGUUUAUUUCCAGCCUUGUUGUCAAGCUUCAUUGGACUCUAAGACUCUGUUAUUUCCCCACACUAUUGCUUGGCAAAGUGUGUGUUUCGGUCAAGUGGAUUAAAACUUUGAACUCUAAUAUCUUAUAUUGGACAAUACAUUUCUGGACUAUAUUUGACCUCAUCUGAAAGGUCUGCUUCUGAACUAUAUUCUUCACUUGUUUUUAUUGAUUUUAUAUAUUUCUUUAAUAAAGAUAUUAGAUAGAGA